AUGGUAAGUAUAAUCGAAUUGAAGCGCAUGGUAGGGGGCCGAGAGAAGAACUAAAGCAAUAUCUAAAAGCUGAGCAAUCCUGCCAGUGACACUCCUCCUUGGGAAACAGCUUCUACAUCGGACAGUCCUCCGAAACAGAUACACCAUUCAAACUCUAUAGGAUGAACAUGAAAUGGACUCUCCAGCUGCCUCUAGCAACUCUAGUGAAGAUGACAGUGAUGAUAUAACAGGAUUUGUGGCUAUAUCGCAGUUUUCUCCAAUAAACUGCAAGGGAGUGAAGACAAGCAGGACUGAAGUAGAAACUAUGGAAGACUGACAGUCGGCUGCUAAUCAAUGUAUCAACAAGGUAACCCCUAUACUGGCAGAUCCAUCAAUCAUUUAACAAUCUGUUGAAGGGCAGUAAAUGUCAUAAGAGUCUGUAGUGCUUAAAGAAGAGCAACUGAAAGUGCUUCAAACUUUAAAGCCUACAUUAUGUACUGCACUUGCAUUAAGAAUCCCUAAUAUUGGUAAAUAAUUUAUGCUGUAUGUCAAUGAGAAACAUGUGAUGGCAGUCUCAUCUAAAGAAGAUGAGGAGUCUGUUGGUCAUUACACUGAUGAUCCUGAGAGGAAUUCAGACGGAUCCUGGUCGCUCUGUGCAAGAGGCAGAAUUGAAACCUCGGACUGAGGCCUGUAAGAUGGCCGAAGGAAGAUCAGCUGAUACCUGCACUGAUUCUCAAAAGGUUUUUAAGAGUUUUUCAUGAUUUUUUAAAACUUAAAAAGACAAAUGGAAUUUCUUACAGCUGCAGGAACCCUGAUCAAAAUCACUAGUACAAGAACUCAUGAAUAUCAUCAGAAAUUGCUGUUUUAAAAUGUAAAAGCAACUCCAAAAUAACUACAAUGGAGAGCUAUAGUUAGUUAUUCAUGGACUAAAUUGUGAAAGGUUAAAGAAUUAAAAGAAGUACCCAGACCAUAUGCAGUGAACCCUGACAAUGGAAAUUAUGGAAACAGUUGUACUCUCUAUCACAAAUGAAUAUACAAGAUACUCAGAAGAUGCAAGCUCAAUGCUCCAACCAGGAAAUUUGGUGCUGGAUGGAGAAUGGUGGGAGGUUAAUCAGUGAUGGAGCACAGAGGUACAGCACUAGUCAUAGACUACUAGCUUGAAUUACAUUGUUUCCUUAUUUGGCAAAGCAAACACACUCCCUAGAAAACAUUGGAGAACAAACAAUGAUCGACAGAUUUUCCCAAUGGAAUACAAAGUUCAGGGCAGAAGCUCAAUAAACAUUUAAAAGAUGCAUGACGUGCCAGAAAAUAAAUCCUUGAACAGUGGAAGAGCUACCACAAUUAAGAGCUCCAUUUUACACUUACAGUACUUUGCCAAAGCAUAAAGGAUACUUAGAUGUACUAGUUACAGUCAAAAAGUUUUCAAGAUGGGUGGAAGCUAUUCCAGCAAAGAAAGCCACUGCCAGACACACAGCAAAAACUCUGAUCAAGGACCAUAUUCAAAGAUUCAUUUUAUUAUCAAAGUAUGUGUGCAGAAUACAACUCUGAAAUGUUGUCUCUUCUCCAGACAGCAAUAGAAUACAGAAAAUCAUACAAGUAGUUGAAAACCAUCAACAGCUCCCCCGCACGAAAACAAAAACUUGCAAAACCCAAACCCCUCCCUCACACAAAAACUAACAGAUCACCCAAACCCCCAGCUCACCAAUUGCAACAAGAAAAAUGGGUGAGAACUGAGAACACAAGAAAGAACAUGGAACUGAAAGAAGCCAAUAUGAACUACAGUUAAUUUGAGCUAAAACCCAAUCCAUAAAUCUCAAUUUCGAUAACACCUCCAAGAGCAUGAGACCCAAUGGCAGCGACUCGAACCAGCGGCCUCUCUGAGAAGCACUCGCUCUCCCCUGCAGUUCUUUCGAUGUUUCAAUCUACCUCGAGGCUUUAAUUGGCAAGAAAUGUAGUCCCCCAUCUAGUCUCUGAGCUUCUCUUCCUGGUAGUUCGUGCUUGCAUUUCUUCGCUGGAGUUUUCUUGGGGACAGCAGAAUGUCAGCUCACCCGAUCAAACUACAGACUGUAAGUCACGGGCUCCAAAAGUUUCAAAAAGAAAAUUAAAAUAAAAAGAAUAAGCAGGGGAGAAAAAGUGGUGCCAUCUCAGCCAGAAGUCAAGACUUGACUGAAAUGGGGAUUGCCCUGCAACACUGACUCUGACCAGGGAACACAGUUGACUGGAAGUGUUUGUCUGAUGGACAUUGACUGUUCUUUUCAUUGUCCACAUCACCCAGACAUCAAGACAUGUCAAACAAAUGAAUGGAAUAAUCAAAAAAUUAUAGGUAAGUAUCAUGAAGAAGGCAUACCAUGGCCUAGGACUCUUCCUAUGGUCUCAUGUAGCACCAGAGCAACUCAAAAGAAAACUAAAUUAAAUCCAUUUAAGGAAGUAACAGGGUGCCCUAUGUCACUGCCAGGAGCUCUUGAGCUCAGAAAGGCUAAUAUACACAAUAUUGCAGACAGUUUAGCGAACUGUUUCUGUUAUUAACUGUUGUAAUUAACCCAAACUGUCCAGUCUGUUUCUCAAUAGGUUUCUGCCGUUUGGAACGAUCCAACAGAGGGAGGACACACCCUGGUUCCUGGUGAUUAAGAAACCACACAAGGCACUACUGGGAGCUCGAUCUAUCAACUCGUCAGUAAAAUUGGAAAGUAAAAGUUAGUGGAUACACGCCAGCCAUUGCAAAUGAGCUAAAGUGGUAUUCAAUGAAGACAGCAAGCGCUGUGGAUAACUUGCUAGUAAUCUCCAACUUAGUACUCACAAUGAGCAAAUCAAUAACCAGCCAGAAGACUUCAGAGUCAGCAACUGGACAUUAUUAAGUUUAUUCUAAUAUUAUUUGUUGUUUUUAUUUGCCAUUUUUCCCUACUCACAAUGUACCUGUUGAGAUAAUUCAAAAUUUAUACAUGCAAGGACCAUAUGAAUUUGCUAUGCCAUUAAUGCCUCUAGCUGUUAGGUAUGUAUAUAUUACACACCAGAAUAAUCACCAAUGCUAGGCAUUUGUGCAGAUACUGAAGGAACAUAUGCCCUCUUUCUUAAGCAAAAUUCAUCAGCACAAUCCAGCAAAGGUGGGCUGGGGUGGGGAGGGAACGUGCAGUUAUAGGCCAGGAUUGUUGUACUUAUAUACCUGACAAGUUUGAAGACAUAACUGAAUUGACUGAUCAUAUUUGUAAAGAAGUAGCUAAAAUAUAUCAAUCUGAUGGAAGAGAUUUCUUUGAUUGACCAUAAGAUAUAGGAGCAGAAUUAAGCUAUUUGGCCCAUCGAGUCUGCUCUGCCAUUUCCCCACAACUGAUCCUGUUUUCCUCUCCGCCCCAUUCUCCUGCAUUCUCCCCGUAUCCCUUCGUGCCCUGACCAAUCAAGAACCUAUCAACAUCUACCUUAAGUAUGCAAAGAAUUCCACAGAUUCACUACUCUCUGGCUAAAGAAAUGUCUCCUCAUCUGUUCUAAAAGGACAUCCCUCUGUUCCGAGGCUGUGUCCUCUGCUCUUAGACUCUCCCAUCAUAGGAAACAUCCUCUCCACAUCCACUCCACCAAGGACUUUUACCAUUAAAUAGGUUUUAAUGAGGUCACUCUUCACCCUGAUUAUUCUGAAUUCUAAUGCACCCAAGAACAGAACCGUUAAACACUCUUCAUACGACAAGCCAUUUAAUCUUGGAAUCAAUUUUGUGAACCUUCUUUGAACCAUUUCCAGUUUCAGCAAAUCCUUUCUAAGAUAAGAGGCCCCAAACUGCUCACAAUACUCCAAGCGAGGCCUCACCAGUGUUUUAUAAAUUCUCAACAUUACAUCCUUGCUUUUAUAUUCAAGUCCCCUUGAAAUGUCACCAGACUCAACCUGCAAAUUAACCUUUAGGGAAUUCUGCAUAGAGAACUCCAAGUCCCUUUGCACUUCAGUUUUCCCUCCAUUUAGAAAAGUCAACUCUUUCAUUUCUUCACCAAAAUGCAUGACCAUGUACCUCCUGUAUUCAUUCCAUUUGCCAUUUCUUCUCCCAUUCCCCUAAUCUGUCUAAGUCUUCCUAUAGCCUCUUUACUGUCCCAAAACUACCUGUGCUCCACCUAUCUUCAUAUCGUCUGCAAAUUCUGCAACAAAGCCAUCAAUUUCAUCAUCCAAAUUAUUGAUAUAAUAUAGAAAGAAUUAUUCCCAACACAUACCCCUGUGAAACACCACUAAUCACUGGUAGCCAACCAGAAAAGGCUCCCUUUAUUCCCACACUUAGCUUCCUGCCAAUCAGCCACUGCUUUAUCCAUGCUUGAAUCUUUCUGUAACACUAUACAAUUAUGGCUUGUUAAGCAACUUCAUGUGUGGCACCUUGACAAAUUCCUUCUGAAAAUCCAAGUACACAACAUCAACCGAUUCUCCUUUGUCUGUCCUGCUUGUUAUUUCUUCAAAGAAUUUGUCAGGCAAGAUUCUCCCUUGAGGAAACCAUGCUGACUACGGCCUAUUUUACUACGUGCCUCCAAAUACCAUGGAUUUAUUUAAAUCCAGGAAGCUGGGGAUACUCAAUAUUACGAAUCAUAUUAUUUGUCCUGAUAUGCCCUUUCCUAAUUUACAUCUGAAACCCUCUGAUUUCUUCAGCUGCGUAAGUCUCGGGAAGACAAUCUCCGUCCCCAACAAACAUGGGAGAUUGAGGCGUGAGCCCCCAAACCACCGUUUGUGUGGAUGCUGUGUAAUUCGCUACUGUUACAAAUUAAUGCCACAAAAUAACAGACAGUACACUGCAAAUGAUUAAAGGUGUUAUAUUUAUAAAUUUUAACUAAAGGAUCAGUAAAGGAUAACAAAAAGAAAAGGGCCCAUUCUAAUUAAACAGUCCAAUGUGCACAAGCUGGAGCUCAUCUUGAACUUCUCUGUCACUCAUGCGCUGAGUACACAGACAGCAUGAAAACACACACCACCUUCCGAAAAUUGCUCGCGAUCCAUCUCGAACAAACAGUUCCCCCACCGUAUCGUACGCUACGACUGGUCCUCCCCAGCAUCUUCUCUCUUCAUCUCUCAAACAAAUCCCAAGACCAACCUUAUUGUCCCUCUCCACAAAAAACCGCCCGCAAAUUGGAUGGCACACAUUCCACAUCAUCCCUCAUCUUCAACAAUAACCCAAAGAGGCUGAAAGCAGAACAGACUGCUCUUACGGAGCUGCUGAAUGAAAUACAUACAGCAUAGCAGUAAAGAUGUGAACCAGGGCACUACACAUCUUUUUUACUUGUAUAAGAUCCAGUUAAGAGUAAUUCAAACUCACCCAAGUAUACCUACUAGCCUACCCAAACACGAAUCCCAUGAAUGCCCAUUGAUAUUUCCAUGACAAAUAGUUUUUGAUUAUUUUAUACUUAAUAUAGAUACAAGUUCUUCUGCCUCAGAAUUUUCAGAUGUAAUGAUUGUAAGUGCGUGAUUCAGAAUCCAAAGGGGGGGGGGGGGGGAUGCUGGAUUAAACUGUUUAAUUGUUAUUUAUUUUGCAGUUUAACUUUUAUAUCUGCUUGUAUUGUAUGUAACUACCUACAUGCAGAGGUGUUCAGUAUAUUUCCUAGUAGUCACAGUACGUACCACCCAGCAGUUACAGUUCUGUCCCUUUCUGGAUGCUUCUUGGCAUCACAUUUGAACAGGGGUUAUCUGAUUGGUUGACUCUUAUCUAUAGAUUUGAAUGGAAUGAUUCGUAGCUAUGUAUAACAGGAAAAGAAGGCUCACCAUCUUUAUACUUUUUGUUUCCUUUGUUCCUAGCCUCCUACCAUUCUCCAUUCCCAAUUCUCUUUGUUCUAUUAGCAUUUAAUAUAACGAUUGUGAAGCAACACAUCUUAUGCCUCUUUGUUGACUCCAAAAGAACCUUGGAUCAAAAACAGAAUGCCACAAUAGAAAAAGGAGAGUUUCACUCGGAUUUUCAGAAGGCCUUUGAAAAGGUGCUGCACGAGACUGCUAAAAAAGAGCCGAUAACAGGAAGGAUACUAGCAUGGAUAGAGAUUGGCUGACAGACAGAAGGCAAAGACUGAGAAUAAAGGAGCCUUAUCAGGUUAGCUGCAGAUUACAUAUUGCAUUGAACUUCUAUUGGCUCCCCACUUUGGGAAACACCUUUUCCACAUCUACGCUGUAUAUUUCAAUGAGAUCCCACUUCAUCCUUCUAAAUUCCAGCCAGAUUCUGUUCAAACUCCAUUUACGAGUUUGCGGAUAAUACCAGUGUAUCUCGAAUAAUGAUGAACCAGGGUACAGAAAGGAGAGAGAGCCUAGUGACAACGCCAUGGCAACAACCUUUCUUCAAUGUCAGCAAAACAAAAUUGCUGGUCAUUGACUUCAGGAACAGCACAUGCUCCUGUUUACAUCAAUGGUGCCAAGGCCAAAGGGACUGAGAGUUUCAAGUUCAUUUCCAACAGCCUGGCAUGGUCCUACCAGAUAGUUUCCACGGCCAAGGAAGCUAAUCAGUGCCUCUACUUGCUCAGGAGGCUCCAUGAUGAGCUGAAUGACUUUGAAAGAGAAAAUGAAACUAUACCUGAGUGAAUCCCCACAGCAUCUUGCAACCCUGUGCUCUCAGUCUUGGAGGUCAGCAUCAGCAUAUCCUUCAAGAAGCUGAACAUUCACAAGGCAUCAGCACCGAUGGUGUACCAGGUAGGUUACUGAAAAUCUGUGCUGAACAACUGGUUGGAGAGUUCCUUGACAUCUUCAAUCUCUCACUGCUUUAGUCAGAUGUUCACAGCUGCUUCAAAAAAAUAUCAAUACCAGUGGACCAAGAAGAGCAGAGUGAGCUUCCUCGAAGCCCAGCACCACUCACAUUUACUGUGAUGAAGUGCUUUGAGAGAUUGGUCAUGGCCAGAGUAAACUCCUGACUGAGUAAAGACCUGAACUUGCUGCAAUUUCCAUAACAGCAAACCUGGACAAACAGUCAGGCUGCUGUUCAGUGAUUACAGCUUGGCAUUCAACACCAACAUCCCCACAGCUUCAAAAUCUGGGCCUCUGUACCCCCUUUUGCAACUGCUUUCCAAGAUCAAAAAACCAGAAUCAGUGUGGAUCAACAAUAAUAUAUUCUCCUCUGAUAAUCUACACAGGCGCUCCUCGAAUGUAAGCACUCCUCACUGCUCUACUCUCAUAACUGUGUGGCUGGGCACAGUUCAAAUGCCAUCUAUAAAUUCACCGAUACAAUAACUGUGUUUGGCAGAAUCUCAGAUGGCCAGAGGUGUACAGAAGCAAGGCACAUCAACUGGUUGAAUGGUGUCACAACAACACCCUUGUACUCACCAUAGGCAAGAUGAAGGAAUUCAUUGUGGACUUUAGGAUGAGGAAGUUGAGUACACACACCAGUCCUCACUGAGAGAACGGAAGUGGAAAGUGUGAGAAACUCCAAGUUCCUGGGCAUCAACAUUUCAGGAGAUCUAUUCUGGUCUCAGUACAUUGAUGUAAUCAUGAAGAACCCAAGUCAGAUUGUCCAUAAUGCAUAACAGGAUGUUUAGUGAUCUCCUCUUCACCACGAACUCAAGGGUCUGAGUUGUAGCCAAGGACAGGUCUAUAGCCUAACAUCAUUAGGAGUUUAAGAAGAUUUGGUAUGUCUCCAAAGACUGUAAAAAAAACCAUCAUCAGAUGUAUGGUGGAAAACAUUCUAACUGGUUGCAUCACCACACGGCAUGGAAGCUCCAAUGUCCAGGAUCCAAAGAGGGUGUAGAAGAUUGUUGACUUAGCCAGCUCCAGCAAGGUCACACUUCUCCCCAUUAUCAAGGACAUCUUCAAAAGGUGGUACUUCAAGAAGGAAUCAUCCAUCAUUACACACCAUCAUCCAGGACAUGCCUUCUUCACAUUACUAUCAUUGUAGAGCAGGUACAGGAGCCCAAAGACCCACAUUCAAAGUUUUGGGAAGUGCUUCUUCCCCUUAGCUAGCAGAUUGCUGAAGAGUCCAUGAACAUUACAUCUCUACUCCUCUUUUGCACUUUUUAUUUACAUACUUUUAGUAACUAAUACUACAUCAAGGCAAAGCUGCUGGCCCAAAUGGUAUCAGCCCCAGGGUACUGAAGGCCUGUAUGAGUUCGCUGUCUGGUAUUUUGCAGCACCUUUACAAUCUGAAUCUGUCAGGAAAAGAUACCAGUGCUACGGAAGACUUCCUGCUUGGUCCUUAUACCCAAAGGGCGACUCUAUCUGAACUUAAUGACUACAAAACAAUUACCCUCACAUCUCAUGUGAUGAAGCUGCCGGAGAGACUGGUCCUGACUUACCCUGGACUGCAGGUGACAUCAUCAUUGGACCCUCUACAGUUUGCCUACCAACCCCAUGUGUGAGUGGAUGAUGCCAUCAUCUACCUGUUGCAGAGAGCUCACUGCCAGCUGGAUGAUGCUGGUGGCAUUGUGAGCAUCACACUUUUUGAUUUCUCAAAUGCCUUUAAUACAAUCCAGACACUUCUUCUGAGCGAGAAGCUGCAAAGGAUGGGCGUAGACAAGUCUACCAUCUCCUGGAUUAUUGACUACCUGACAGAUAGACCCCAAUUUGCACAACUGGGUAGCUCUUUGUCUGCGGCGGUGGUGAGUGGCACUGGAGCGCCACAAGGGACUAUCCUGUCUCCAUUUCCGUUCACACUGUACACCUCAGACUUCCAGUAUAACAGAGUCUUUUCACUUGCAGAAGUUCUCUGAUGACGCUGUGCUGGUUAGGUGUAUAAGAGAUGAGCAGGAGUUGGAGUGGAGGACUAGUGGACAAGUUUGUGGAGUGGUGUGGGAAGAAUCACCUGCUCCUGAAUGUGGCCAAAAUCACAGAGAUAGUGAUUUAUUUUAGGAGUAAGAGGAUGUGACAUGUCCUGUAUACAUUCUGGGAGAAGUUAUGAUGGAGGAGUUCAAAUACUUGGGUGUUCACCUUGACAACAGACUUGACUGGAAAACUAACACCAUAGCUGGUCACAAGAAGGGGUCUGCAGACUAUUUUCUAAGGAAGCUGAGAUCCUUCAAUGUUUGCAGCAGAAUUAUGGAGAUCUUUUACCAGUCGAGUGCAGUCUUCAGGUUUAUGUUGGGGGAGCAGCAUUGGUGCUGGUGAUGCAAAAAGCCUAAAUAAACUCAAAAAGGCUGGACGCAUCCUUGGCGACAACCCAGACUCUUUUAAGUUACUGGUGAAGAGGAGGUCACUAAAUAAACUUAUCCAAUCUGGCACAUCCUCUACAUGACCAACUGAAGAAGCAGCGAAGCUCCCUUUCGAACACUUAUUCAGCUCCUCUGUCAAAAGGAUCGUUACAGAAAAUCUCUCUUACCAAAUGCGUGUGGCCAAGUGGCUAGAGCGUCAGCUGAGGCAGCACGUUGUGUCCUUGAGCAAGGCUCUUAACCACACAUUGCUCUGCAACGACACCGGUGCCAAGCUGUAUCAGCCUAGUGCCCUUCCCUUGGACAACAUCGGUGACGUGGAGAGGGGAGACUUGCAGCAUGGGCAACUGCCGGUCUUCCAUACAACCCUGCCCAGGACUCCAUCAAUAUCAAAAUCGAUGGACAGCCAAAGAAGAAGAAGAAGAAUACAACAGUUCAUCUGUGUGACAGGAGAAAAUAGUACAAUAGUGUCUGCUUUAUAAUUUUGUACAUAAUUGCACAUUAAUACAUUAUUGUGCAUUUUAUUAUUAUGUGCUUUAUUAGUUAAAUGCACACUACUAAGUGCAUUUUUAAAUGUUGCUAUUGUAACAAAAGAAUUUCCCACUCAGAAUCAAUAUAGUACUUGUUAUUAUUGUCUUGAACUGUUCUGUUGCCACAAAAAAAAUUUACAUCUGACAUUGAUAGUAAACAUGAUUCUGGAUUUAGGAUACAGCCU